UCUGCAAAGCUGUUCUGAGCAACCCCUGUGUGGCCCCACCCCAGCUGACUGCACAGCCCUUGAGCAAGCACCCCUCCCCUCAGAGCCCUCCUCUCCUCUCACCACCAGUCUGGGGGCAGCCAGGGUCCAGAAACAUGGGUGGGAGGUCUUAUGAGCCAACAGGAAACUCGUGGGAGCUUCCUCUCUCCCUGGCCCCCAUCUUGAGCCAAAGCCACCCUCAUCACAAACUCCAGUUGCCAGCAAGGGGGUCUCACCCCCGCCUGCUGAUGUCCCAAGUUCCUCUUCGGGGCAUGGCCCCCCACGUGGCGUGGAAGUGGGCCGAGGCCGGGCGGGGUGACUAAGAGGGGAAGCCCCCGCCGGCUCCCAGAGCCCGGUUGCGUAAGGGCUGUUGCGGAUGCUGGGACGACCUGAAGUCAGCACGUGGAAACUGACAGGCCUGGCCGUGGGUCUCAGGAGAGCCUGUG